ACUGUUCUCCUGUCCUUUCUCCAAGGGACUUGAAAUUCAUCUGCCUUCUGAUAUGUAGUUUUGAGGGAGGAAGACGGCUAAUAAAAAUGGUCCCUUCCCCCAUCAUUAUUACGCUGUGUGGCUCAGGUGAGGCUGACUCACUCCCAGCAGCUGGAGUUGUCAAGACACGGAAGCACGGCGCAUCAGGUGUUUCAUUUCUCUCUGAGGACAGAGACAGACCCAGCUGAAUCAGUGAAAAAAAAGUUCCCAUGAGAUUUCGAAGAAUUAUGACAAAAGAGGCCUUCCUUUCCCCAGAAACUGAGCUUCUAGAUCAUCAUAAGCCUGCCUUUUCCAGUUACUAUCUCUACUCCCCAGAUGAGGGAAAUUGAUGUUAGAAAGAGAAGAAAACAUUGCCGAGAAAGGCAAAUAGUUGAAGGUACUCUGAUAACACUGUUGGUGGUUUGAUUUGUUAAAACGAGGUUUUACUGCAUAGCCCUGACUGGCUUUGAACUGUUGACAGUCCAUUUGCCUCAGCCUCCCAACUACUAGGAUUAUAGGGAAGUAUGAGCCGUUAUGGUUAGUUUGUAGAUGUUUUAAAAUUUUAAAAUAGGAUAUUUCAUUUCAUCAAAUUACAGAACAACUAAGAAGCUCACACUUUGAGGUUUUGUGUUUUUUUGGGUUUUUUUUGUUUUUUGUUUUUUGUUUUUUUCUCAAAAGAAAUUCCUGCUUCUGGCUAGUGUGUGUGAUUUGCAGGCAUCCACUGGUAUGGAUGGAAUCUUUGAACCUUGUGCUCAAAAGCAGAGCGCUUUGUACAAGGCUGGAGGGCAAAGUCGAAGAAAGGUAGUGGGCCUGGCUCUGGACAGGCUCAAUGAUGUCAUGUGCUAGUUAACCUCUUGGAUUCCCUAGCUGAGUGGCUUCCUUCUAAGCUUUGAUGACUCAUGCUUGGGUGAGCUGAGCUCCUGCUGUUGCUGAGCCUCUGAUUAGCUCUUCAGCAACAGCACACCUACAGACCCAGACUUCUCCAUUUGUGGUCAUUGAGCCCUUAGGCCCAGAUAUGCUCCUGGAGUUCCCAGUGUGGUGAUCAAAUACUCUCUCUCUCUCUCUCUCUCUCUCUCUCUCUCACUCAUUGCUUAGGGUUUUAUUAUUUAUAACUUUAAAUCUAGAUUAAUGUGUUUCUUGUGUUUCAUCAAGUUACCGUCAAACAUGUUGCUGAGUGAGUAUUAGAAAUUACCAAUUUUUUUUUUUUUCUGUACUGUUUUGGGCUUUGACUGUGUAGUAGGUGUAUUGUGCUGGACCUGGAUCUGACUGUCUUUUGGGAAUCUUCAUACCGUGGCCUUAUCCACAGGCCUGCUUCUGUCCCAUCAGCCUUCCCUCUGGUCUGGUGGGACACGUUUCAUGGGCAGUGAUCCCCGUGUACAUUGCCAUUCCUUCCACUUUGUCCACAGCCAACACCUUUUGCAAACAGCUCUUUAUUUAACUGUCCUAUUCUUAAACCCUGAAUGCAACCUUUCUUCCCAUUGUCCCACCUGAUAGCAGAUUAAUCAUUGUUCCAGUGACACAGUAGAUUCUGACAGACAGUAAGAUGCUCUCCAAAGGACUGACAUUCUCACUUUUAAUUACAUCUACUGCACACACGUCAAAACAUUUCAACUUACUGCCCAAGGGUUCCCUCCCCUAAACAUGAACAAUAUUUGUCUAUUGAGGAGAAAUUAAAUUUAAAGCAAACUAGAAACUUGUUUCCCCUGACUCAUUUGUCAAGUAUAAUAGGACGUGAGCAUCUAUAUAUGAAGAACUACUUGCUCACCUCAGAAUUUCUUUUUAAUUAUUUUUUAUUUAUUUUUAAUUAUUUUUUACCUCAGAAUUUUUUAACCAGGGAAAAUAUUUGUUACAAUUUCCCCUUAGUCAAUUUAAAUCAUAGAUAAGAUUUUAAAGUAGCACAAGAAAAAGACGAUUAAGAAUAAAACUUGGGGGUGGGUGCAGUGUGUUUCCAGCAUCUUAUUUUCUUUCUACUCUUCAGGCGAAGGUCUGAAGUGCUGGCCCAUUCUUUCUCACUAUCAAUCUCCUCGCUUCAAUCGGCAGUGUUUAGCGGUAGCAUUCUUGAAACUGUUGCUUGUGGGGCGUGUUCAGUGGUACUGAUAUGGUGUUUUUAGUUGCAAACUGGGAAUGAAUCGCAGUUUGGCUAUUUCCCCCAGUAGCCAAUAAGAAAACACAAUGGAAAAAAAUAGAGAAACCCAUCAACAAUAGUACCAAAGGGCAUACAACAUUUACGCCUAACCUUAACUAAAAAUGUUCUUGGUACAAAUGAAGAGAACUCUAUAACUUACUGAAAGCAUACAGUGGCCAAACAAUGUAACAAAGGCAACAUAGCUCUCUGAACUGCCCCUUGGCUGGCAGGCAGAGGAGCACAGCAGUCGCCAGCACAUGGCUCUUGGCAUGACUCAGGACUGGGAAGUUAUUUGACUACUAUGUACUUUAGUUUCUGCAUCUUGAAACCAGGAGAAAGAAAAAUCUGUUCUCCACAGGACUAUUGUGAGAGUCGAGUCAAUCACUGUAAACAAAAUGUUUAGAAGUGUGUGGCAAAUCGCAAGUCCUUGCUGUAGGUUCAGUAGUUAUUUUCACCAUUUCUUACGUCAACCCCCAAUUCCAGCACCAUUUUUACAAUCAUAGCCAUCAGAGAGGCUAGUCACUCACCUUGUGUCAGUCACACUGUGCAUGACUGGAUUCCUGCUCUGAUCUAUCCGACUCAUGCUUUGAAGAUAAGGCAGAGAUAGUCAUUCUGACUUGGGCAGUCAUUCUAGAGUUCUUCUGAAAGAAUUAACAGAAAAUUUAAAAAGAAAAUAUAAAAUGGGAGAUUGUAUCAACAAUGCCAAUGUUUCUGUGAAAAUAGAAAAUCAUUAAGGUGGUGGUGGUUUGUUCUUUAUUGUGAUUGUGGGAUUCAUUGUGCAACUGUAACCUAGCUAAAAUUAUUAAAACUUUACAUUC
ensembl:lincRNA Gm17767 predicted gene, 17767